GCCCGUCGCUCCUACCGAUUGAGUGAUCCGGUGAAUAAUUCGGACUGCAGCAGUGUUCGGCAACGAGCGUUGCAGCGGAAAGUUUAGUGAACCUUAUCACUUAGAGGAAGGAGAAGUCGUAACAAGGUUUCCGUAGGUGAACCUGCGGAAGGAUCAUUC
rnacentral:rRNA from 1 species